rnacentral:rRNA from 1 species
UAGGCAGCAGUGGGGAAUAUUGCACAAUGGGCGCAAGCCUGAUGCAGCGACGCCGCGUGAGGGAUGACGGCCUUCGGGUUGUAAACCUCUUUCAGUAGGGAAGAAGCGAAAGUGACGGUACCUGCAGAAGAAGCGCCGGCUAACUACGUGCCAGCAGCCGCGGUAAUACGUAGGGCGCAAGCGUUAUCCGGAAUUAUUGGGCGUAAAGAGCUCGUAGGCGGUUUGUCG